UGUCCAGACUGGUUUUGAACUCCUGGCCUCAAGUAAUCUGCAUGCUUUGGCCUCCCAGAGUGCUGGGACUGCAGGCAUGAGUGAGCCACCGCACCUGACUCUUCCACAUUUUGUUUCUUUUUUUUUUUUUUUUUGAGACGGCGUCUCGCUCUGUCUCCCAGGCUGGAGUGCAGUGGCACGAUCUUGGCUCACUGCAAGCUCUGCCUUCUUCAGAGCACAUAAAAGCUCCUAUUCUUUUGGAAACUGUCCGAAAAUUAGCUUUUUCUUAAACUUUGACAAAACGCAAAACUCUCUGAAAGGUUUCUCUAUGAUUUAGUGGAAGAGCAGUGUUGCCUAUUACCACUGGGGCC
rnacentral:lncRNA from 1 species